UACGGAGGGAGCUAGCGUUAUUCGGAAUUACUGGGCGUAAAGCGCACGUAGGCGGCUUUGUAAGUAAGAGGUGAAAGCCCCGGAGCUCAACUCCGGAACUGCCUUUUAGACUGCAUCGCUUGAAUCCAGGAGAGGUGAGUGGAAUUCCGAGUGUAGAGGUGAAAUUCGUAGAUAUUCGGAAGAACACCAGUGGCGAAGGCGGCUCACUGGACUGGUAUUGACGCUGAGGUGCGAAAGCGUGGGGAGCAAACAGG
rnacentral:rRNA from 1 species